AAUUUGAAUAACUUCAUUUAACAGAAUCAAAUACCUACUAUUACUUAAACACAUUAGAUCCUAUGAAAUCAUAGAACAAUGUAAUGAAGUUAUUCAAAAGUGGAUGAAUUUAUAAUACGAACGUGCAACUGCAAAGUUUAUAUCAGCUGAAACAAGUUUAAUAACACAUUUUAUUUGUUUGGUUAUUUGUUAUUGCCACAAUUUUAUUUGUUUAUAGUUCUUUAGUUUUCAGUGUUUUGUAUUUUUUACCAUUUUAUCUCAAUUUUAAUUUCCCAAUUUGUGCAUUGGAUUUUGAGAUAAAUAAUAAUAGUGAUAAAGAUUUUCACCAAAGAUUUACAUGGUUAUAAUGGUAACAAUUACUAUGGAAUAUUUAUGCGGUGUUCUGCAUUGUGAUCAAUAACCUCUUGGAAAAUCAAGAUAUAACUUCAAUCAAAAAUGCUUCUGAGCUCUACACAAUCACCUAUGGACUCUUCUAUGGGACUUGAUAGGAGCUCCCUCAAGGAAGAAUUCUACCCUAGAUAUUCGGAGAUUUCCAAUGAUGACCUGAAGCAUCUCAUCAAAAACGCUUUGGAUGCAGUAUUCUUCUUGUCAAUCGAAAACAAUAUUCUAGAAAAGUACCUCGGACGUGUGCAGCCUUCCAGCUUAACAGGUAUGCCUCAAUCGAUUGACACGUCCAACAGCAUAGCCCAGCGCAUACAGCUGAUGAUGUCCUACAGCGGCCAGAAAACGCGUCCCACAGGCAGCAAGAGCCGGGGUUCUGUAAGCAUUCGGUCGGUGCCUGAUACCAUAUCGGACUCAGGAAGUCCCUCAUUGGCUCCUUCCCGACAGGCUCUCUUGUCUACUACUCAUCGUUUAUCAGUGAGCUUCUUCACAGAACUGAUCACGCGGGAGUUGGAGGAGCUGAAGACCGCCCUGGAGACGCUGAGCAAAGAGGGUCAGGCGACCAUGUUCAAUCUGAACGCACAGAUUGCCGAGAAGCGACUGGCACUUGAAGCGGUCAAAUCGCUGUGUGCCGCUUUCGAGCAGAAUGUGCUGAUUGACGGGCUCGAUCCGUUGAAUGGCCGGUUGUCGUCUCAAAAGUAUUUGAGAUUUGUGAACGACACGACCCUGAAAGACCUGGAGCUGAAGUACGGCAAGAUGCGGCUGCGCUGUAGCAGUGUGCGCAGUCAGCUGGUGCGCGUGCGCGCGCAAUACGAGCAGAGGGUUGAGCUGGGGGACACCAUCCAUGCGGUCGACUUCGACGAACUGACCAUCCACAACAAGGCCCACUCCAAGGUCAUCGACGACAAGAACAACCAGAUAUUGAAGCUCAAGAAGGUCACUGCCAUUUGUGGACAAAAUUUGAUAACAAACUAUAGGAAUUUUGAGCGGAUACUUGAAGAUCAUAAAAAUUCUGUUGUAAAAAUAAAAGAAAGAGAGAAUACUCUGGAAAAGAUCAUAUCUGAGGCAAAAGAGGCUGGAGAUGGAAUUGAACUGGCUCAAAGACAAAAUACACAAAUAGAGGAACUUAUCACAAAUUACACGGCACCAGCAGUGAUGGACUACAUAAAACUCAAAGCUGAACUACUUGAGUUGAAAAGAAACAUGAACAUUUGGACAAGGAAAGUGGAUCUUCAGCAGAAUACGAUCAGCCUCUUAACUCAUAAAUUAAAGUCAAAAAGUGGUCUAGAACAGAAGUCUCAUUGGCUAAGAAUGAAAAUCUGAGAGGAAGCCUUCCCAUGCAAUUUGAUGGGUGUUGGGAUAUUGCCUUGUGCUAUUGUUUGAGAGCUAUGAAAAUGCGGCUUAUGAGACAAGAUCAUAAGUCAGCGAACAGUAGUGAAUCUACAGAGGACACGUCGACCAAAGUCCAGGCCUCAACAACCAAAUCUGUAACCAGAAAAAAUUCAAGAAUAAAUGUCUAGAAAAUAUACGAUCUGAAUUAUCAUAACUAUUCUCUACUUUCAAUAUAAAAUGAAAUUAGUAUAAUAAAA